GACAGAGGGUGCAAACGUUGUUCGGAAUUACUGGGCGUAAAGCGCGUGUAGGCUGCCCUGCAAGUCGGAUUUGAAAGCCCUGGGCUCAACCUAGGAAGUGCAUUCGAAACUGCAGGGCUGGAGUCCUGGAGAGGAAGGCGGAAUUCUCGGUGUAGAGGUGAAAUUCGUAGAUAUCGAGAGGAACACCGGUGGCGAAGGCGGCCUUCUGGACAGUGACUGACGCUGAGACGCGAAAGCGUGGGGAGCAAACAGG
rnacentral:rRNA from 1 species